UACGUAGGGUGCGAACGUUGUCCGGAAUUAUUGGGCGUAAAGAGCGUGUAGGCGGUCCGGUAAGUCAGCUGUGAAAGUCAAGGGCUCAACCCUUGAAAGCCGGUUGAUACUGUCGGGCUAGAGUCCGGAAGAGGCGAGUGGAAUUCCCGGUGUAGCGGUGAAAUGCGCAGAUAUCGGGAGGAACACCAAUGGCGAAGGCAGCUCGCUGGGACGGUACUGACGCUGAGACGCGAAAGCGUGGGGAGCAAACAGG
rnacentral:rRNA from 1 species